rnacentral:rRNA from 1 species
GACGAACGCUGGCGGCGUGCCUAAUACAUGCAAGUCGAACGCUUCUUUCCUCCCGAGUGCUUGCACUCAAUUGGAAAGAGGAGUGGCGGACGGGUGAGUAACACGUGGGUAACCUACCCAUCAGAGGGGGAUAACACUUGGAAACAGGUGCUAAUACCGCAUAACAGUUUAUGCCGCAUGGCAUAAGAGUGAAAGGCGCUUUCGGGUGUCGCUGAUGGAUGGACCCGCGGUGCAUUAGCUAGUUGGUGAGGUAACGGCUCACCAAGGCCACGAUGCAUAGCCGACCCGAGGGGGUGAUCGGCCCCACCGGGACUGAGACACGGGCCAGACUCCUACGGGAGGCAGCAGUAGGGAAUCUUCGGCAAUGGACGAAAGUCUGACCGAGCAACGCCGCGUGAGUGAAGAAGGUUUUCGGAUCGUAAAACUCUGUUGUUAGAGAAGAACAAGGACGUUAGUAACUGAACGUCCCCUGACGGUAUCUAACCAGAAAGCCACGGCUAACUACGUG